rnacentral:tRNA from 1 species
GCCUUUGUGGUGUAGUGGUCAGCACGCUCGAUGCGUAACCGAGAGGUCCGUGGUUCGAUUCCCGUUGAGGGCA